UUAGUGGCGGACGGGUGAGUAACGCGUGGGCAACCUGCCUUACACAGGGGGAUAACACUUAGAAAUAGGUGCUAAAACCGCAUAAGCGCACAGCUUCGCAUGAAGCGGUGUGAAAAACUCCGGUGGUGUAAGAUGGACCCGCGUCUGAUUAGCUUGUUGGCGGGGUAACGGCCCACCAAGGCGACGAUCGGUAGCCGGCCUGAGAGGGCGGACGGCCACAUUGGGACUGAGACACGGCCCAGACUCCUACGGAAGGCAGCAG
rnacentral:rRNA from 1 species